rnacentral:rRNA from 1 species
UGGGGAAUAUUGGACAAUGGGCGAAAGCCUGAUCCAGCCAUGCCGCGUGUGUGAAGAAGGUCUUCGGAUUGUAAAGCACUUUAAGUUGGGAGGAAGGGCAGUAAGCGAAUACCUUGCUGUUUUGACGUUACCGACAGAAUAAGCACCGGCUAACUCUGUGCCAGCAGCCGCGGUAAUACAGAGGGUGCAAGCGUUAAUCGGAAUUACUGGGCGUAAAGCGCGCGUAGGUGGUUCGUUAAGUUGAAUGUGAAAGCCCCGGGCUCAACCAGGGAACUGCAUCCAAAACUGGCGAGCUAGAGUAGGGCAGAGGGUGGUGGAAUUUCCUGUGUAGCGGUGAAAUGCAUAGAUAUAGGAAGGAACACCAGUGGCGAAGGCGACCACCUGGGCUCAUACUGACACUGAGGUGCGAAAGCGUGGGGAGCAAACAGG